rfam:Treponema primitia ZAS-2, complete genome.
AAACGGUUCGUUCCGUACAGAGAAUUUCCGGGAGGAAUGGCGCGACCCUCCUUCCGGGAAGGCUUACCGUGCGGUUCGACUGUGGCUAAGGAUAGCCGCAGUUACU